GUUUUUACAUUUUGUAGUAACUAGUUUAAUUAUUAAUAAAUUUUAUUUUUAUAAUAAAUUAAAUAGUAUAUAAAUAUGUUGAUGCAUCUAAUAUGUAUUUUGUUAUUCCCCAAAAUUUAUCCAGUUGUAUAAGAAAACUAUUCAGCAGUUUUCAUUCGAUUAAGUGAUGUUUACCAAUAGAGUCAAAGAGUUUGGUUCAUUGAUGGAUCUUAUUGUACACAAAAACUAAUCAUAUUAAAAAGAUUUAAAAAUGACGACAAUUAUAUUGUAAAAUAUGGUAGGAAUUAUAGAAACAUACAAAAGAGAAGUAGUUGAUGAAUUGAUUCUCAUUCUCCUAAGCAUUAACCAACAAGUAAGAGCAUUUUUAAGAGAUACUCAAAUCCUCAAAUUUUAAGGUUUUUUUUCGAAUCCUCAAAUUUUGAGUAUCUGAACAGUGAAACCUCAAAUUAAAGGUUUUACUAUUCGGGUCUUCAAAACACUAUUUACUUUUCAUUUAAAUAUUUAUAUAUAUAUAUAUAUAUAUAUGUAUUAUUAAUAAAUAAAAUACACUAAUAUGUUCAAAUAAAAUAAAAACUAAUAUGAACUAAUGAGUACAUUGUAUGAGAACACCUGUGAGUAGUUUAUAUUUUCAAUUGUUAUGAAUUAAUGUAUAUUUUAUGUUAUUAUUUAUGUAUAUCGUGUUCUAAUAAAUUGUAUUUAUAAAUAUUGAGUUUAACUCUUUACCCUCGGAAUCUACGCCACUAACUUCCAUUGGAUCCAACGAGCGAGUUAAGACGCUUCUUAGUUCUCUUCUCCGGUGACGCAGUGACGGUGGCAAGCCAGACGUCGUCGUCGUCGACGGCGGCGGGAUAUGGUUUGGGUGGUUGCAGUGGGAGUAUCCAGUGGAAACAAAUGGGCUGUAAAGAGAAAGAGACAUUUUUUUAAUUAUUGGGCUUUCUUGUAGGGUUCUGUAGAUUUUAAUUUAAUUUUUUUUUGUCAACAUUUUCAUAUGUUUUAUUAUCAUUUUAAACAUUUAGAUAAAUGGUGAUAAAUUUUUAAAUGAUAAAUAUCUUUAUAUAUAAAGAAGGGUUUCAAUCCCUCCUGGUGAUGCCACCUAGGAAUCCAGGUCACAAAUUCAUGUGAUGUAAUGGCUACACGUGUCUAUUUAAAUGAAACUCUGUGUUUCAUUAAGUCGUGUGUGUUAUUCGUGUGGGCUUUAGUUAUAAUUGGGCUUUCGAUUAAUUUCUGAGAAUAACAGCUCGCUUAUCAUCUCCGCCUAGAUGAAACGACGUGUUUUCGUUUAGGGUUAAACCUGUUUUCUUCUUCGCCUCUCCAGAGCUCAAGCGACAAUGGUGAUUCUGAAAGUCCGAAGAGACAAAUCGUCGUCCAGAGACUCCGAAUUACGCUUCGUUACAGUCGUUUUGAGUUCAUUCCUAUCCUUCCAGACGUUUCGACGCCACAUUCAUCGCCUUUAAGAUACAUCUUAACUCCAUCGAGGCUCAUCAAAGACGAUGCCACAUUCAAUGUUACUUUUAUCUGUUCAAGGAGGCUGGCCAGUGUUCUUCCAUGGUGGAGUCCGAUUGCUGAGAUUCGGGGAGGGUGGGUCCAAAUGUCAAGCGUGGUGGGGAGUAGAUGGGGUUGACAUGCUCCUCCUUGAUGCUGAGGCAACACUUAUUCAAGUGUUCAUUGUCUUCCCACUAGCAAGCGACUGGGUUCUAUGUUUUACUUUGAUUCCACUUGGUGUUAUCAAAACUAUAGGCCCUCCGAGGAAGUGAUUUUUAAGUUAUUACAACCACAUUCAGUUUCUCAUGUUCUUUAUCCAUAACACCCUCAUUCAACUUUCCAUCACUUAAGGCUGGUCUCGAGAAACACUGGGAACAACCCAGAUCCUUCAUUGCUGGAGGAUAUGCCAAGGUUGAACCACUGAGCAUAUCUGAGCUGAAUGAGUUCGUCAUCACAGCCGAGCCUCAGGAGAUUGAAUUUGUCUGCACUGGAAUGGUGAGUGAAAUCAAGAUGGACAAAGGCUGGUGUUACGUUUCCUGCUCCAGGUGCACAAGAAUCUCCAAAGAACUGUCUCAUUUUUGACUUGCGUGUCCUGCAACAACACAUGCGUUUUUGGAGUGCUCCGGUAUACUGGAUCAUUUGUUUUUCCCCGUUUUGAAAAUUCUCACAUACAGUCAAAAUGGUUUUCAUACAAUUUAUUACAAGGUACCGGGUGGAGAUGAGCAUUGCUGACGACACAGAUGAGGGUCUAUUUGUGGCUUUCGAUGGAGUACGUAGCAUUAUCUAACGCUGGCAUUGAAGGUUACAAAUGUGUGGAAAUCUCAUCUGCAUGAACAUCCUCCAUUGGUCCUGCCACCAAGAAGCCUCGCCUUUCAACAAUUUUGAAUGUGGUCAAGAAGGUACGAAAGGCUUAAGGGAACAUGACGGAGUUUCUAGAGUCAGUUUUAUUCUUUCAAUUAUGCUUAGCCAUCAAUGUUAUUUUUUUAACUUUGAAUUCUCGAGUCAGAUUUCCUCUUUGAAUAGUGCUUAGGCAUCAAUGUUUUUCUUCUUCAAAUUUUCUCCUCAUCUAGAGUUUGCUAUGUUUUUUCUUAGCUAUCGUGAAAAUGGUCUUCAGUUUCAGGCAUACUCUGAGUUUAAAACCGAAGAAUACAAAUAUACAA